CACCCAGUCUGGAGUACAGCAGUGCAAUCACAGCUCACUGCAGCCUUGAUCUCCCAGGCUCAAGCAAUCCUCCCACCUCAGCUUCCCGAGUAGCUAGGACUGCAGAUAUGAACCACCAUGUCUGGUUAGGUUUUAAAACUUUUUUGUAGAGAUGGGGUCUCAUUAUGUUGCCCAGACUAGUCUCAAACUCCUGAGCUCAAGUGAUCCUCCUGCUUCAGCCUCCCAAUGUUCUGGGAUUACAGAGGUAAGCCACUGCAUCUGACCAGAAAUUUGGUCUUUUUAAGAGGUCCCCAGUAAUCCUUACAAUUAGGCCAGUUUGGGAAACACUGAACUUGAAGGAAUAAACCAUUGGUCCUUUCAGUUCCUUGCACUUCCACAUAACCCAUCUUAGAAGCCCCCUCUGGACAUCCUGAGGCUGGGGGUCCCAGGACCAAAAUUUGAGAACACUGCCCCAGAGCAGAUGUCAAACUCAAAGGCUUGUUCAAGCACAGAUUAUGGGCCCCACUUCUAGAGUUUCUGAUCUAGUUGGUCUGAGGUGAGGUUGGGGAUUUUGCAUUUCUAGUGAGUCCCCAGAUCAUGCUGAUGCUGCUGGUCUAGGUACUACACUUUGAGAAAUCUCCUGUGCUAGACCAUUCUGUUGUAUUAAAGAGUAGAUUUGUCCUCACGCAGACCAGAGACUUUUCUUCACGUCAAGCUUAGAUGUAUAUAAUUGCAGUAACUGACAUACCAGGCUUUCCUUAUAAAUCACCAGCUUCCUUAAUUAUUACAGAGCUCUGCUCUUGCAAUGUAUAGUAAUAUCCUAUUUAUUGUUAGAAGUAGGUAUUAGGAAGCCAGGUGCCACGGCUCACGCCUGUAAUCCCAGCAAUUUGGGAGGCCGAGGUGGGUGGAUCACAAGGUCAGGAGUUGAAGACCAGCCUGGCCAACAUGGUGAAACCCUGUCUCUACUAAAAAUACAAAAAAUUAGCCAGGCGUGGUGGCAGGUGCCUAUAAUCUCAGCUACUUGGGAGGCUGAGGCAGGAGAAUAGCUUGGACCUGGGAGGCCGAGGUUGCGGUGAGCCGAGAACAUGCCACUGCACUUCAGCCUGGGCAACAGAGCGGAACUCCAUCAAAAAAAAAAAAAAAAAAAAAAAGAAGUAGGUAUUAGGAAACUUAGGUGCUAGGAUUCCACUUACAACCCAGAGGCACACUUCAUGAACAUCUACAGAGAAGUCAUUUCCCUCUACAUGGCCUGAUUUUUCCCUCAUUUGCCAAAUACAACAUCUUGAGAAGAUGAAAUGAGAGAAAAAAACAGAACACAUUUAUCCUCUGUUAACUGAUCAUAGGGGGAAGAAAAAAAAAGAAGCCGCGCAUGGUGGCUCACACCUGUAAUCCCAGCACUUUGGAAGGCCAAGACAGAAGGAUUGCUUGAGGCCAGGAGUUUGAGACCAGCCUGGGCAACAUAGCAAGAUCCCCAUCUCUACAAAAAAAAAUUAGCUGAAGGUGGUGGUUGCAUGUCUGUAGUCCUAGCUACUGGGGAGACUGAGGCAGGAGGAUCUCCUGAGCCUAGGAAUUUGAGGCUGCAGUGGCACAAAUACAAUUGUGUACACUGUACUCUAGCCUGGGCAACAGAGCAAGACCCUGUCUCAAUAAAUAAAUAGAUAGAUAAAUAGAUAAAUAAAUAAAUAAAAUUCAAACACAUUCAGAAAAAGUUUAAAGCUCAAGGCACAAAUAUUAGCCAUUACCCUCAGCUUCUGACUUGGGGAGGUGAGGAAUGUGGCUCCUGGGUCCUGGUUUGUUAUUACCUUUAGGGGCAGUGGCCAGGCUUCCCUUUCUUCAUCUCUAAAAGACGGGGAUUAACCUGGACUGUCUCAAACAUCUCUCACAGCUGGGAGAUCACGAGAUUUCAACCCUGACCCAGCACCUGAGACUGGGUUCAUUUUCACGUUGGUUCAUACAGAGAUCUGUUUCUACUCUUCAGAUUAUAAUCUAGGUUUGGGGCACCAAAUAUUCCAUUUAAAACAUCUAGGAUGCUUGGAGCAAGUGGGCAGAAAAAGUGUGAGGGCCAUUUAACACGAAAGAAGUCUAGAUGGAAACAAAAAGCAAGCAAAACGUGGGCCGUGGCGUUCUGCAGAGUGGCUCGACUUAUUAGUGUGUUCUCUUCAAUGCCUGUCAGAGAAGAGGUGAUCACUGUGUCUUAUGAAAUCAGAUCUGUAACCGGAGAAAAGAUGAAAUUGCUUAACUAGCCCGACUCAUGUCAGUUUUUAUUUGAGAAGAGAAAAAACAUCCCUUUGAAUAAGAGAAAUAUAGCAGUCCUUAUCUGUCUAGCAACUGUACUCUCUGUAUAAAAAAAGGUAGCCCCAUGAUUCUACAAUUAUUUUUUAAAAAUUAUAAAUAAAUACAGUAUACAUGCAUUGAAGGAAGGUGUGCAAACUUAUUUUCUAAUGGUCUGUGUGAUCACAGUAGUUUGGAGACCACUGCUCUAAGUGAUGACAUUUCAGGGGCCCCUGCUUUGUCCUUUGCAUAUUUCUUUUUAAAGAAACUUAAAAAAAUAGACAUUAUUAUUAUUAUUAUUUGAGACGGAGUCUCGCUCUGUCACCCAGACUGGAGUGCAGUGGCGUGAUCUCGGCUCACUGCAAGCUCCGCCUCCCGGGUUCACGCCAUUCUCCUGCCUCAGCCUCCCAAGUAGCUGGGACUACAGGCGCCCGCCACCACGCCUAAAAACUUUUGUAUUUUUAAUAGAGAUGGGGUUUCACCGCGUUAGCCAGGAUGGUCUCAAUCUCCUGACCUCGAGAUCCGCCCUCCUCGGCCUCCCAAAGUGCUGGGAUUACAGACGUGAGCCACUGCGCCCGGCUGACAUUAUUUUUUUAAGUAGUUUUAGUCCACAGAAAAAUUAACCAGAAGAUACAGAAAUAUCUCACAUCCUCCCUGCCCCCCACAUACAUAGCCACCCUCUUAUCAACAUCCCUUCCACCAGAGUGGUACAUUUGUCACAACUGAUAACCCAUAUUGACACAUCAUUAUCACCCAAAGUCCGUAGUUUACAUUAGGGUUUAUUCUUGGUGUUGUACAUUCUGUUAGUUUGGACAAAUUUAUAAUGGCAUGUAUCUUCCAUUAAACCAUCAUACAGAGUAUUUUCACUGGCCUAAGAAUCUUCUGUGCUCUGCCUAUUCAUACCUCCCUCCACCCUAACCCCUAGCAACUACUGAUCUUUCUACCAUUUCCAUCGUUUUGACUUUUCCAUGUUGUCAUAUAGUUGGAGUCAUACAGUAUGUAGCCUUUUCAAACUGGCUUCUUUCACUUAGUGAUAUGCAUUUAAGUUUCCUCCAUGUAUUUUCAUGGCUUGAUAGCUCAUUUCUUUUCAGUGCUGAGUAAUAUUCCAUUGACUAAAAGUACCACAGUUUCAUUUAUCCAUUCUCCUACUGAAGGAAAUCUUGGUUGCUUCUAAGUUUUGGCAGUUUUGAAUAAAGCUGCUAUAAACACCCAUGUGCAGGUUUUUGUGUGGACAUACAUUUUUGACUUCUUUGGGUUAAAACCAAAGAGUAUGAUUACUACAUCGUAUGGUAACAGCAUGUUUAGUUUUGUAAGAAAUUGCCAAUCUAUCCUUAAAGUGGCCGUACUGCUUUGCAUUCCUAUUAGCAAUGAAUGAGAGUUCCUUUUGCUCCACAUCCUUGCCAGCAUGUGAUGUUGUCAGUUGUCAGGUUCAUGACUACACCAAAUGUUAUGUUGAGUCCGAAGGGAGUGGCUGGAUGAGCAGAAAGAACACUCGGGGGGCUGUAGGCAGUUGAAAGAUGACUUUAUUCAGCAGCAGCUCUUAUCAACAGCUUUCUCUCACACUGUCCGCCCUGUCUCGGCUGCUUAGUCUGGCGGCUCCCACACACAGCUGCGUGGCCGGCUCUCCCUUGCCUUCAGGGUGAGCAGCUUAACUCUUUCUCUCUCUGGGAAUGAGUGAGCUGAGCUGUGUCCUGGCUCAGACGGACAGCUCUGACUCGCUCUCUCUUUCUCUGGGCGCCUGCGCGCCUACCAUGUCAAGCCAUUUGAGGCGAGCCGAGCCCCAGAGCCACGUCUCUGGUGCACAGAGUUAACAGGGCAGUUAUACCUUUUACAGACAACUGUGGCUCCAAGUCAAGUAUGAACUUACACAAACAGUUUAUAUAACAAGUGGAGGUGUGCGCCUGCGUGCCAAACUUGCUGACUCAUGCAGGCCUGGAUACCCGCCUCAGCCUAUUCCUUGACCGAAGCACUUCCAGGGCAGGAAACUGAAGCUCUUGGGAAGGCGGAAGUUGCACGUGGUCUCACAGUCAACUGUGCCAGAAUAGGAGGCCAGGAACCAUCUCUGCUGGAGGAAGACCCACCACGCAUCCCUUCAAGAGUGCCAAGGUCCAGAGCAAGCGCUUCCCUUCUAUGGGCACAGGAGGGCUGUGGGAGCCCACAAAUGUGCUUCUGGCCAGAGUGGGAUCCCCGAGGAAGAUGUUAAGACCUCUAAUAAUAUUUAAGAGCAAAAUUAGCACAGCUCCAGCCCAUGGGCAAGUUAGAGACAGGAGUAGUGUCUGUGGAGUGGAGGAAAGCAGAGGCUGCCGCUGACCAUCCUGCAGCCCUCGCUCUGGCUGCUCACAGCUCUCCACCUUCUCUGGACUUCGUCACUUCAGUAUGUGAAACAACCAUUUCAACCAGCUUGGACAAAAGAGAGAAGCCAAGAUGGGGCUGAGAAACCAAUGCAGGCAGGCCCAGGGACCCAGGAGUCAGGGACCAGGUGCUACCAGAUGCUUGCUCCGACUCGUGUUGCUGCUGUCUUCUCUGUGCCUCAACUCUGUCCUCUGUCACUGCAGGCAGCUUCCUCCCAAGGUGGAUGAAAAAGUCUGGGGAGGACUUUGACUCUUACCCAUCCCCUGGAAAAAUCAACUGGGGAGGUGGAAUUCAUGGAAGAACAUGGCAGCUCCUGAGGCAGAUGUUUGGGUUGGAAAGAACACACCAUUCAUUCAUUCAUGUGGCACUUUUUUUUUUUUUUUGACGGAGUUUCACUCUGUCACCCAGGCUGGAGUGCGGUGGCGCGAUCUCAGCUCACUCAUGCAGCACAUUUUUACUGAGCAAAACUGAGAGGCUGAGUGAGGGACCAAAGUCUUCACUGAUGAGGGACAGGGUCCCCAGAGAUUGGCAGAUGAAGGUGAAGAGAAAAGGUAGAGGACACCAAGGGCCCUGCCAAGCAGCAGAAGAAGGAGGAAUUGAGGAGCUUCUUCUGGAAUGAAAUCAGUUGCAUUUUUUUAUUUUUUAUUUUUUGAGACAGGAUAUUUCUCUGUUCUCCAGGCUGGAGUGCAGUGGUUGAUCUCGGCUCACUGGUGACCAACCUUUGGCUCCUGGCUCAAGUGGUCUUCCUGCCUCAGCCUCCUGAGGAGUUGGUAUUACAGGCACGUACCACCAUGCCUGGCUGAUUUUUGUAUUUUUAGUAGAGAUGGGGUUUCACCAUGUUGUCCAGGCUGAUCUUGAACUCCUGAACUCAAGUAAUCAGCCCGCCUCGGCCUCCCAAAGUGCUGGGAUUUUAGGCGUGAGCUACCGGGCCCGGCCCACUUGCUCCUUUGAAAGGAAGUCCUGCUAUGAAAGAAAGUAGCAGUUGAACUAAAUGGUGAAGUGAAUGAUGUAGCUGCUUUACAUCCUGGCUCAAGCUCCUGACCUUGUUGUAAAACAAUAAAAGUUUGGGCACCAGCAGUGAGUCUGCCAGCUACACUGUGAGUAGCUGUGCCCGAGGGGAAUUCUUGCACAUACUCUAUGCGAGAUGUGUACAAGAAUGUGCAUAGUAGCAUUGUCUAUAAUAGCUAAAAAAGGAAACAACCCAGAUAUUCAUAAGUAAUAGAAUAAAGAAGAAAUUUUGGCAUAAUGAAAUCCCAUAUAGCAAAGAAACCAAAUAAACUACAGCUACACCCAUCGACAUGAACAAAUUUCAAAAAUACUGUUGAGCAAAGACAGCAUGUUAAGAAGGUUACAAUUAGCAUGGCUUUGUCACAUGAAAUUCACAAAAGGCACCACUAAGCAGUAUAUUGGUUAGGGAUCCACAACAAAUGGAUUAAAACUAUAAAGGAAAGCCAGGGAAUGAGUAACACCUGUGUCAGGUCAGUGGCUUGCCCCAGGGUUUGGGAAGGGAGAGCAAGACAAUUGGGAAGGGUGGGCAUGGAGUGAGCUUCAUGGUAUUGGCAAUGUUCAAUUCCUUAAGCUGGGUGGUGUGGAUAUGGGUAUCUGGUUUUUAUUAUUAUUCUUUAAGCUGGACAUAUACGUUAUGCACAUUCUUUUGUAAUGCGAUCUAUUUCACAAUGAAAAAAAAAAUUGUAAAGCAGAUAUAGCCAAAACCAAAGCUCCUCCACACCCCAAUAAAAGGUAGAGUUUGAUGUGGUUGAAGAGUCUGAGCCUCAAUGGAAUGAGGACUUUUCCAGAUGUGGUGCUGUACUGGCUGGAAUAGCAUCUGGGAGAAAGGAGGAUGGCAAAGCAACCCACACUGCCCCCUGGCCAGGGCAUCGGCAGCUGGACUGAGGGGUGCCCUGGUAUCCCCGGGACCUCCUCUUCCUAUGGCUCUGGGACCGCUGUGUGCCCACUCUAUGCCCCUUUCUUCCUGCACCACAAUCCUCAGGGGUUGGCUGGCUUUUCGGAGUCGCCACCAGGUACUUUAUUUCUCACAGCUUUCGCAUGGCUGCCUGCUGAGUAGGAGGCAAUUAUCCUAACUUCUCAUGUUUUUGACCCCCAAAGCAAGUGCCCCAGCCCAUUUGGAGUUAAAAAUGUGAAAGCAUUUUGGACCACAUCCAAAAUCUGGUCACUCACCAUGUGAUUACCUUUUUAGGGAAGGUUUAUCAUUUGCCUGCUGAAGUUUACUUUAAAUUCUGAAUGUUUUGCAAACACAUUCUUUGUUGACAGCUCUAGCUGGAAAUGUUUCAGCUCACCGUGUUCUGGGUAAAAAACAUUGUCAAGUCUUUUUUUAACCCCUCACGUUAGAUGGUUUUUCUUGGCCUGCAUUUCAGUGUCCAUUAACCUUAGUGUCGUAAGAUCUUGGAGUUAGAAGGAAACUUGGAAGCCACCCAUCCAACUUCCCACCCAGUGGGAGAAUAGUUCUGAAGCUUGCCUGAUCGCCAGCCUCAGAUAGCUUGCUUUUUAAGGGCAUUGCUGUACAGACACAGAGUACCAUAGUUUACCAAUUCCCCAUAACAUUUUGCAUACAUUUUCAUGAAUCUUGCAGAAUCAGAAAGCAGUGUGAGCAAUUCCAAGUUUGUUAAUUAAAUUAAAAUGAGCACAGACUCUUACAAAACAGGUUUUAGAGUUACAGGAGGCCUUACAUGGUCAAAGACAUUUUUCACCUACUUAAAAUAAUCCUAUCCUGGUUAGCAGGGACAGAGAGACGAGGGAGUUGGACACAUCACAUGCUUGGAAGGAGAAGCAGAGAAAGAUUGCUUGGCAGUCCUGUGUGUACAUUUUCUUCUGUCCCUUUGUUAUUACUUUCUUGCCUCCUUAAAAGAACAGAGAUGGCCAGGCGCGGUGGCUCACACCUGUAAUCCCUGCAUUUUGGGAGGCCGAGGUGGGCGGAUCACGAGGCCAGGAGUUCGAGACCAGCCUGACCAACAUGGUGAAACUCCGUCUCUACUAAAAAUACAAAAAUUAGCCAGGUCUGGUGGUGGGCGCCUGUAAUCCCAGCUACUCAGGAGACUGAGGCAGGAGAAUCACUUGAACCUGGGAGGUGGAGGUUGCAGUGAGCUGAGAUCACACCACUGCACUCCAGCCUGGGCAACAGAGUGAGACUUGGUCUCAAAAACAAACAAACAAACAAACAAAAAACAAAAAACAAAACAAAACAAAAAAAGAACAAAUGGUAUAUAAAUGAAGAAUAUAGACAUUGCCCUGCUGAAGGGCGCUGGACUGGCCUGUCAUCCUCCCACUGCCACCCUCUGUCUUUCCACCUAAUGGUAACUGGAUGCCUUGUCCCAUUAGUUUGGGCCCACCCCAGUUUCUGAGCCCACCGAGAGAUAGUGCAAUGUGUGUUAAUAGUUGCCCCUUCCACCUGUCUCCCCACCUUUUGUUCUGCUCCAGUAGAGGGAGCCAAGCGGUGAUACCAGCUGCCAUGGUGGUUAAGUGAGCUUGAGCCUUGAGCGACGCUGGGACCUUGGUGGCACAGGCCCCUCAGGGUAAGGGGAGGAAGCUGGCCUGGGAAAGACUGAAGUUAACCCAUCAGAACAGCAGGGUUGUUCUGUGCCUAACCCCUCUCUCAUGCAAGCUGAGGAGAGUUUCUGGGCUAAAGAAGGAAGCUGAAGAUUUUUUUUUUUUUAAGUUAGGGGUAGGAAGCUCAAGCAGGGGUGAGGAGAGAACAAUGCAAGGUGCUGACCCAGCCUGGACACACAGGUGCAAGGUCCAGGGGGCGUGUGAAGUUCAGGUAAGCUUAAGUAAUGGUUGUGAGAAGGCCUAGUUGGUGGCACAGGGCCUGGUGGACCCUUCACAGCAUGAUACCCCAGUCAGAGCCUGUGCAGAGAGACAGGCAAGAAGUGGCAGGAUGUCGGGGCCACAAGCGGAAGCUCAGGGCAGGCCAGCAUGCCCUGCAGGCCACCAGGGGCAGGAGCCUCCUUCAAGGUUCUGAUCCCGCUGUGUGGUCCCUCCCCAGACACCCAGAUCUCCCCCAGCACGCUGAGCACCUAGAGACUGGUCCAGGACUGAUGCACUCACAGAUCUGCCUGGGUCCCGUCUCGAAGGGGCCAAGGAGACUGGGACUGACUGCCUGAACUGCUGGGCCCCAAGUUCCGUCAAUUCAAAUCAACAAAUACUGGACUGUGUAUCUCUGGGUGAGGGAGUUGGGGUAGGAUAAAGAUAAGGGGCUGGGUGGCCAACUAGGAGGGAGAUUAGGAAAUGCCGAUAAUGUCAUAUCAUAUGAAUUAUACAGCAGAUUACACAGCCAGAGCAGAUUACACAGCCAGAGGACACUGCUUCGUUAGUCCAUACAGGCAUCUAUUUACAUGGGGCAUUUACAUGGGAGAAGGAGAGGGGGAAGACAACAUAGGAAGAGAGGAAGCGGGGGAAGAAUUUUGCAUAGAAAAAAUGCAGUGCCAAUCCCUGACCUUGUCUUCCAGUCCAGUGGCAGGUGGCAGCAGGGAAGGACUAAAGGAGCCAUUUCUGCAGGGCGUCAGGGAGACAGAGGCCACAGCUAUCUGCUUAGGUUCCAAAGUAACUUCAGGGAUACUGAGUGGAGGAGAGGGUCAUUGUCCUCACCCCGCUGUGCAGCAAAGCAUCUCUGUGAGUGUGAGGGCAGCAGAGGUGUAACUCCAUGUUGGCACCUACACCGCUGGUGUAGUGGAAGCAGCACCCUUGGCAUGCACACAGGUGUAUCCCCAGAGGGCAGCCUGAGAGCGCAGCACAGAGCAUCCGCAGGACUUGAGUGGGAUCGGAGGUCAGGAACCAGUGACGUUCUGGACACACCCGUUAUUUUCAACUGGUUGGUACCAGGUUGGGCCAGUAGGACCUGGAAAUACUCCAGUUGUGGAAGUUAACAGAGUGUCCUCUCUAGGCGCUUUAAUUGCCACCUUCAUAACAGCCUUGAAAAAUUCCACCCGCCCCCCAACCUUUUAAAUUUCUUUUCUUUUCUUUUUUUUCUUUUGAGACGGAGUCUCACUCUGUUGCCCAGGCUGAAGUGCAGUGGUGCAAUCUCAGCUCACUGCAGCCUCCACUUCCCAGGUCCAAGCGAUUCACCUGUCUCAGCCUCCCGAGUAGCUGGGACUACAGGCACAUGCCACCAUGCCUGGCUAAUUUUUAUAUUUUUAGUAGAGAUGGAGUUUCACUAUGUUGUCCGGGCUGGUCUCGAACUCCUGGCCUUAAGUGAUCCGUCCAUCCCGGCCUCCCAAAGUGCUAGGAUUACAGGCAUGAACCACCGCACCCGGUCCCUACCUUUUAAAUGUCAUAGAACUUUUCUGAAUCUGCAAUUACCUUGUUUUUUUCCUUUAGUCCAAGGGUCAGCCAAUUAAAAAAAAUUUUUUUUCUGUAAAGAGCCAGAUAGUAAGUACUUUUGGCCUUGGGGGCCAUAUGGUCUCUGUUACAACUGCUCAGCUCUGCCACUGUGGUCUGGAAGCAGCCAUUGACAAUGCAUAGACUAACGAAUGUGACUGUAUUCAAAUAACAGAUGAUUUAUGGACUCUGACACUGGAAUUUUAUAUACAUUUUCACAAAUUACAAAACAUUCUUUUUGAUUUUUUUUCACAAAUCCAAAAAUGUGAAAAACAUUUUUAACUUGUUGGGUGCAGAGACAGUCCCUGGCCGUAGUUUACCAAUCCCUGAGGGUCAGGAAGGGCUCAUAGUUGUGUUGCUAGUGCCUAGCACAAUGUCCGACAUACAGUAGGUGCUCAGCAGAUAUUUGUUGGAGGUGUGAACUGCACUUUACAUACAAGGAGACCACAGCUCAAGAGGUUAAUCAGCUCUCUGAAAUGUGGAGUUAGAACUCACACUUUCAUGGUUUGCAAUAGUUUGGAGAGUGAGGUGGUUGGCAGCUCUUCCAGCUCCAAGUCCUCCACUCCUUCUACCAAAUCACAGCUUUGGCCUUCCCAGAAAAAAAUAUUGUCAUAUGGAAUUUCACAGAAUUGGGGGCCGGGCGUGGUGACUCAUGCCUGUAAUCCCAGCACUUUGGGAGGCCGAGGCAGGUGAAUCUCUUGAGGUCAGGAGUUCGAGACCAGCCUGGCCAACAUGGUGAAAUCCCGUCUCUACUAAAAAUACAAAAUUUAGCCAGGCGUGGGGGUGUGCACCUGUAAUCCCAGGUACUUGUGAGGCUGAGGCAGGAGAAUUGCUUGAACCCAUGAGGCGGAGGUUGCAGUAAGCUGAGAUCACGCCACUGCACUCCAGCCUGGGCAACAGAGCCAGACUCCGUCUCAAAAAAAAAAAAAAAAAAAAAAAAAAAAAAGAAUUGGGGAUUGAGAACUGCUUUUGAGCAAUAAAUCAACCAGUGAGGUAGACUCUUGUGGUAUCACCUUUCAACAUGGUCAAGCUAUGGAAACGUGAUUUUAAUUUCUCAGGUUUUUUUUUCGUUUGUUUGUUUUUGUUUUUGUUUUUAAUCUGCCAGAUGGAGACCAUGCCAUUGCUAGUCUACCUUGAAAGACAGAUGUGAAGAAUGAAGUCAGGGGCUUUGCAGGAAGGCGAUAUAUCCCACCUCAUGAAAUCAGGCUUCACCACAAGAUUGCUUUGACCAAUGGGACGUGAGUAGAAGUUUGAAGAACCACAGACUGGUCCAUCACCUUGUUUCUUAUCCCUCUGACAUAAGCAAUGUCCCAGACUGGGGCUGUUCUGUUAGCCUGGCUUCCAGAAUGAAGAGAGCUGAUCUACAUGGCAUAUGUAACAUAAAUAAACCUUUGUUAUUACAAACCACUGAAACUUGGGACUUCUUUGUCACAGCAGAUGAAUUUAGCCUAACUAUCCAAUACAGGUAUCUUGAGAAGAAACAGCAACAGGAGAAGAAGAAGAAACAGCAACAGCAACAGGACGAAGAGUUGUUUUGGGGGAAAAAAGGAUGAUCCAGGGUGAAAUGUAAUAAUUCUGAGGUGGCCAUUGAAUACCUCAGGGGGUGUCAAAUGGUUGACUUAUAAAUGAUGAAAUUGAGUCUCAGUGAGAUCAUUUGCCCAUGGUCACACAGAAGCUGGAGAUAUAGAUUUGGAAACUGUGUGUGCUGAGAGGGGAUGGUCACUAAGAGCAACUUUGUAGAGAGAAGGAUGGGGAGCAAGUAAGAGUCAAAGCUGGGUCUCUCAGAAAGUCAAGAGACAAGCCAGGAUGGGCCAUGACAGAGCAGGGGCAGACAUGUCAAGAGAAGAAAACAUGGGACAGGAGGUUCCCAAAACUGAGGAAAGGCCUUGGGGUGUGGCAAUUACAAAGUCACUGGAGGCCUUUGGAAAAGCUAUUUUUGUAGAAUGCCAAGAGUGGCAGCCACAUAGCAGAUGGUUGAGGAGGGACAGUGGAUUAAGAAAGUGAAGGUGCUUUUCUGAGAAGUUUCUCUGUCAAGGUGAAAAGUAAAUAGAAUAUGUGAGCAGCAAGGUCCAGUGAAGAAUUUUUAUGUUGGACAUCUGUGUAUGUUUCUGGGCAAAGGGGAGAGAAUGAGGAAAAUGUGAGAGGCUGGAGACACUGGAGAGCCCUUGAGGAUCACCGGCCGGGAUGCGAGCAGGAGCUGCGGCAUCAGGAGUCCUGGAGAAUGAUGUGGCCUGGACACUGGGCAGACUCUGCUCCUCAGAGCAAGAAGCAAAGGGGAAUUGCUUGAAAGGCGAGUGAUGUGUGGAAGAGGAAAGCAGGGCAGAGGGAAAACCUGGAGUGUGCCUAAUGGCUUUGACUUUCCUGACAAAGUUGGAAGGGAGGCUGAGGAUAGGAGGUCAGGAAAAGGUGAGGAAGGGGCUCCAGGAAGCUGCAGGAGAUGAAAUGUCUUGGGCAGCAGUCUCCAGUCCAACAGCAGAGGCAAACGGCAUUGUGAGCAGAGCGAAGUAAUCAUUCAAAGCAAGAAUGCAUAUGUAGUUAGGUUCUGUGGUUUUCUAUGGCCAUCUCUUCAGCCUGGGAGCAAAAACUAGAGAAUGAGAGGCAGAGAGAGACCCCAGAUCAGACAUUUGCCUAAGACAAGGGACAAGAGUGAGGCACACAUGAGUCUAGACAUUGGAGCAAGGGGCUGCCCAUGGCAUGGGUAGCUGACAAGGAUUUGAGCAGGGCCACAGGGGGUGAACAGAAUGGAGACACUGAACUGCUUGCCGGGGAUUGGAGGAGUCAGCAAUGAGAUGUGGCCUUGGUGGUCUGGGGCGGCUAUGGAGAGAGGGAGAUUUGUGAAGUUCUCUAGGAACAAGUUGCUAUUUUAUUUUAUUUUACUAUUUUUUUUUUUUGAGAUGGAGUCUCACUCUGUUGCCCAGGCUGGAGUGCAAUGGCAUGAUCUUGGCUCACUGCAACCUCUGCCUCCAGGGUUCAAGUGAUUCUCCUGCCUCAGCCUCCUGAGUAGCUGGGAUUACAGGCACCCACGACCAUGCCUGGCUAAUUUUUGUAUUUUUAGUAGAGACGGGGUUUCACCAUGUUGGCCAGGCUGGUCUCAAACUCCUGACCUCAAGUGAUCCACCCGCCUUGGCCUCCCAAAGUGCUGGGAUUACAGUCGUGAGCCUCCGCACCCGGCCACAAGUAACCGUUUUAAAGUAUACAGUUCUUUGACAUUGAGUGCAUUGGUAACACUGUGCAACUACCACCUCUUUCUAGGGGUGAAGGGAACUUUAUCCACCUAGAGCCAAUAUUAUUUGAGAAGAGCUCUUAGGAGAGCCAAGGGUGAAGUAUGAGGCCAGAGGGUGGACAGGAGUGGAGUGAAGCAGGUGACAGUAGGGUGGGAAUCAGUUGGUCUGAGGUGCCAAGGUGGUCAGGGAAUCAGGGGUGAUGGAAUCCCAGAGGAGAGAAGUGAUAUGGUUUGGCUCUGUGUCCCUACCCAAAUGUCAUCUGGAAUUGUAAUCCUCAUGUGUCCGGGGAGGAACCUGGUGGGAGGUGAUUGGAUCAUGGGGGCAGAUUUCCCCCAUGUUGUUCUAGUGAUAGUGAGUGCUCACAAGAUCGAUGCUUUAAAAGUGUUUAGCAGUUCCCCACUUUGCUCUCUCUUUCUCUCUCCUGCCACUAUGAGAAGAGGUGCCUUGCUUUCCCUUUGCCUUCCACCAGGAUUGUAAGUUUCCUGAGGCCUUCCCAGCCAUGCAGAACGGUGAGUCCAUUAAACCUCUUUCCAUUUUAAAUUA